GUUUUAAAGCCUGAGAAGGAGGGAAACAGAACCUUGGGAGAGGGUAAAAGUUUGGAGAGUAGCAUUUAAGGGAAGAAUUCUGUGAGCAAAUGUGGCUAAGCUCUUUAAGUCCCUCAGAAAGAUAGUUGGAGCCAAUUCAGCCAUCUUCCAAAACAAGGGAUUUGCAAGUCACUGAAAGAUGGGGAUUAUUUAUGUCCACACUUUCAUUCAGAAUCUGAGCUACAAUAAAUGGAUCUGGGAUUAAGUGAAAACCUUCCAUUAAAUAUGUUUUCAAAACAGGCGUGAAAGACAAUGAACAAAUCCCUGUGAGCUGCACAGGUGUCUUGGUCACAAGGGCAGUUAGUGUGUGAAUGCAUUGAGGUGGCUGGGCUCCGGGUUCGCUCCAGCCGCUCAGCCUCCACCCUGCCGGCACCCACCGAGGAAGUGGCUUCGCCGAGAGUGGAGGGCGAGCAAAGAAGAAACCCGAAAGCAGGUGUCCAGGUGAUGAAAUUGGCACAGACCACCAAGGGAUGGACCACCUGGGCUGCCUCCCCACCAUCCCCUCAUGUUGUAUCCAACCCUGACUUCAGUGACCCACCAAGGAAAGGAGAAAGCUGCCUACCCCAGUGACCAUGGGCUCUAGAUGCUCUCUCUGCCUGUGAACAGCAGUUACUGAUCAAAACCGAUGAACUGGCUGUUCUUGAGUCACUGGUUGUGUUUUC
rnacentral:lncRNA from 1 species